ACAAGCCUGAGAAACGGCUAGUAGGACUAAGGUCUGCAGCAGGCGCGAAACUUACACAAUGCUAGAUUUCAUGAUUAGCGAUGUAGUGAAGAAAAAUAACGAUGUGCUUGCUUUUAAACAAGCUUGCACAAUUGGAAUGAGACGACUUUAAAUCAGUCAGUCGAGUAACAAAUGGAGGGCAAGUCUGGUGCCAGCAGCCGCGGUAAUUCCAGCUCCAUUAGCAUACAUUAAAGUUGUUGCGGUUAAAAAGCUCGUAGUUGAAUGUAGUGGGGGUCUUGGCGGCGUGCAACCGUUAAGGCUGCGGGCGCGGCCUCAAAACCCGUCCCAGCUGGUCGCAUCGACCGGACAGGGCCCUCAGUUUCGUCACUUAAUCGAGUGCGAAGCAGGUCGGCGGUAGGUUAGCCCUCCGGGGCGUCUAGCAUCGGCAAGUUUACCUUGAGAAAAUUAGAGUGCUCAGAGCAGGCAGUUGGGGUGUAAAAGCUCCUUUAUGCUUGAAUAAUGUUGCAUGGAAUAAUAGAAUACGGCCUCGGUUCUAUUCUGUUGGUCUUAUAGAACAACAAACAAGUUGGAUAGUUCACUAACGGGCGGUCGUUGGUGUGUCGCGCUUGGUCGUGCUGUUGGAAGCCUUAAAACUUUCAUACCUCCCAAGAGUGACAUUAAAAGCACCUCCAACCUCACCCAGAACUCCCAUCCAACUGAGGCAAUGGUUAAAAGAAAUAGUCGCGGCGGCAUCAGUACUGCAUCGUGAGAG
rnacentral:rRNA from 1 species